UUCAAAUGCAGGUUAUUCUACAAAGUGCACGCUGUGUCCAUCCCAUCCCCAUCCUCAGCCCAGCCCAGCCCAUUUGCCUUUUUCGUUAUUUAUUUUUCAACGGGAUAUUUGAGGGGAUAGUGGUUGACGACCAGACACCACGGACCACUCACUUCUUUUGACUCACCUUUGUAGAAAUGAUGAAGAACCGGAGCUGCGGAGGACGCCAUAAAGCAAGAGGACAUCGAUGUGAUGUGAGGAAUUUUCUUUUCACUGCACCUGUCUGAGGUUUGAUGAAGACCUCCUGUAUUGCCGCCACUCUCCAGCCUGCCACGUCGAGGAUAUCCAGCAGAUCGCAAAGGUGUGCCCCUUUCUGCACAACAACUGGAAGAGAAGACGUCAUCUGUGCUUUUUUUUUUUAAUAUCAAUUUCAGCUUCUUGUAAAUGAUUGCACAACAUAUUGUGAACCUGUGCUGAUGAGAAUCACUGUACCGCUGUUUAUAUUUUCAUUAAGAAAUUAGGUCAAGUUGACUGUUUGUCUG